UAACUCUUUAGCUAUCGAAAGGGAGGGAGAGCAUAUUUCUUUCAAUUUCUUCUAGAGAGAGAGAGCAUUUUCGUUCAAGUUCUCUUUUGAGAGAGAGAUCAUUUUCGUUCAAUUUCUCUUUUGAGAGAGAGAGAGAGCUUCCGUAAGUGCGUUAAGUAGUGAGAGGAGAGACAGAGUCUCUAGCUUGUGAGCCCCUUGGUUACGAAGGUUUCGGGUUUUUGGAAUCAUGUAAAAUAGUUCUAUGAAUAUUGAUGGAAUUUUCACAUCGGUUGAAAUGUGCUUCCAGGCUUGAGGGAGAAAUUUUGGCGCGAAUCGAUAGUAUUUCACCAGUAAGGGUUCUUUUGGCGACGACCAAGCACGAGUUUGAUGCAUGGAAUGGAUUUCUGAAAUGGGUUGAAGCCUAUCUUUGCCUGUAAAUUUUAGCCCAUGAGGAAUGUGCUUUCACGCCUGAAUAGGCAACAAUAUGCAGCUCUUUUUCACCAUUAUGCCUCAAUUUCAACAGGCCUGCAUUAUAUUGGUGUUUCAAAGUCUUCCCAGUUUAGACGUGGAAGAGGCAGUGAAACUCAGAGAUGGAGAAUGGAUAUGGUUCCGAUUGACUUGUGGCUUCAGCAUCAUUUUUCAACUGGGUUCACUAGCAUCCAUGGAGAAAGACCCUCAGCGGAGUAUGCAAAACUGAGGAAGGAGUCCCUCGAAAAUGAAUUUGGGCAUGCACUUGGAACAUAUAGCUCAAAGAGCUUGUCGUCUUCCUUUAAGUUUGGUCCAUUUUGGGCCCUGUAUAGGGCUGCAUUUAUUUCAUUCCAGGUGGUGAAGUUGACCGUACUGCAUUUUUUUGUUCGUGACAUCCAUGACCGUGCUGUAAAGUUUCGGGAGACUCUUAUUCGCUUGGGCCCUUUUUAUAUCAAGCUUGGGCAGGCUUUGAGCACUCGACCAGAUAUAUUACCUAAUGCUUACUGCCAGGAGCUCGCUAAGUUGCAGGACCAAAUACCACCCUUUCCAACUCAUGUUGCAAUUAAGUCUAUUGAAACUCAAUUGGGUGCCCCCGUUUCACAAAUAUUUGCUGAUAUCAGCCCUGAGCCUAUUGCAGCUGCAUCUCUGGGGCAGGUGUACAAAGCUCAUUUGCAUUCUGGAGAGCUUGUAGCUGUUAAAGUACAGAGACCGGGUAUGUCUCAUACAUUGACACUAGAUGCCUUAUUGUUUCAUAUGAUUGGUGGACAAUUGAAGCGGUUUGCAAAGGCUCGACGGGAUUUAUUUGUCGCAGUGAAUGAAAUGGUUCGCCAUAUGUUUAAAGAGAUUGAUUAUAUUUUGGAGGCACAAAAUGCCGAGCGGUUUGCUGCUCUUUAUGCUUGUUAUCCAAAAAGUGGUGAAAACAGCUAUAGGGACACAUCUACAAAGGGCACUAAAAUGAGGACUUACAUCAAAGUGCCUAAGAUAUAUUGGAACUACACUCGUAAGGCUGUCCUUACGAUGGAGUGGAUAGAUGGGAUCAAACUUACGGAUGCUGAUCGCAUGAAGAAAGCAUUCCUGGAUAGGAAGAAAUUAAUAAACCAGGGACUUUAUUGCUCUCUAAGGCAAUUGCUUGAGGAGGGCUUCUUUCAUGCUGAUCCCCAUCCUGGCAAUCUUGUUGCUUGUACUGAUGGCUCUCUCGCUUAUUUUGACUUUGGCAUGAUGGGAGACAUUCCGAGACACUAUCGAGUGGGACUUAUCCAAGUGCUCGUGCACUUCGUUAAUCAUGACUCAUUGGGUUUAGCAAAUGAUUUCCUUUCACUGGGAUUUAUCCCUGAAGGGGUGGAAAUUCAAGCUGUUGCAGAUACAUUACAAGCAUCCUUUGGUGAUGGAACUAAAGAAUCGCAGGAUUUCCAGGCUAUAAUGGAUCAGUUAUAUAAUGUGAUGUAUGACUUCAAUUUCACUUUGCCCCCUGAUUAUGCUCUUGUGAUUAGAGCAUUGGGAUCUUUGGAAGGGACUGCAAAAGUAUUGGAUCCCGAAUUCAAAGUUGUUGAGAGUGCGUAUCCUUUUAUCGUAGCCAGAUUACUUGCUGACCCAAAUCCAGAUAUGAGGAAGAUUUUGAGGGAGCUUCUUAUUCGUAAUAAUGGCUCUAUUCGGUGGAAUCGGCUUGAACGCCUAGUUAUGGCUAUUUCUGAACAAGCAUCAGAGUCAGAUGGGGAUGGAAAUGAUGCACCAGUUAGGGCAUGGAAAUCUUUUGACAUGCAUUCAGUUGUUGCCGCCACUGAAGACGUAUUUGAUUUCAUUCUUUCAGAGAAGGGUUCAAGGGUUCGGGUCUUCUUGGCUAGAGACAUUGUAAAAGCAGUGGAUGCUUUCAUAGAAGAUGAAGCCUUCUCAUCACUUUUUGCAGAGAAGAGAGAAGGGAAAACAGCAUCUGAGCACUCACAGUGUGUGUAAUCGUACGGGAGGGAGGCAUAUGGGCCGAUGUAGUAGACAUUUGAGAUAUGACACCUGUGUCGGUACCCAUACAAUACUGUUUGAGGGACAUAAAAUGACAGUCCGGAUGGUGAGUGGGGUACGUGCAUUUUUGAGAGCAGUGAAUUCGGCACCUGGGGCGUGGAUCCCAUUCAUAGUCCGUAUGGCCUUUGAACCACACGCUCAGACUUUCUUCCUCCACCUUGUGGCUUCUGUUUCCACCUCUUCAUGCCAC